UAGUACGAGAGGACCGGAGUGGACGCAUCGACUGGUGUUCGGGUUGUCAUGCCAAUGGCACUGCCCGGUAGCUAAAUGCGGAAGAGAUAAGUGCUGAAAGCAUCUAAAGCACGAAACUUGCCCCGAGAUGAGUUCUCCCUGACCCUUUAAGGGUCCUGAAGGAACGUUGAAGACGACGACGUUGAUAGGCCGGGUGUGUAAGCGCAGCGAUGCGUUGAGCUAACCGGUACUAAUGAACCGUGAGGCUUAACCUUAC
rnacentral:rRNA from 1 species